rnacentral:rRNA from 1 species
UACGUAUGGUGCAAGCGUUAUCCGGAUUUACUGGGUGUAAAGGGAGCGUAGGCGGCGCGUUAAGUCUGAUGUGAAAACCCGAGGCUCAACCACGGGAGUGCAUUGGAAACUGGCGUGCUGGAGUGCCGGAGAGGUAAGCGGAAUUCCUAGUGUAGCGGUGAAAUGCGUAGAUAUUAGGAGGAACACCAGUGGCGAAGGCGGCUUACUGGACGGCAACUGACGCUGAGGCUCGAAAGCAUGGGUAGCGAACAGG